AUUGAACGCUGGCGGCAGGCCUAACACAUGCAAGUCGAACGAGUGGCGGACGGGUGAGUAAUGUCUGGGAAACUGCCUGAUGGAGGGGGAUAACUACUGGAAACGGUAGCUAAUACCGCAUACCAUCGGAUGUGCCCAGAUGGGAUUAGCUAGUAGGUGGGGUAAAGGCUCACCUAGGCGACGGUCCCUAGCUGGUCUGAGAGGAUGACCAGCAACACGGGAAAGGAGACACGGUCCAGACUCGUACGGUAGGCAGCAGUGGGGAAUAUGGCACAAUGGGCGCAAUCCUGAUGCAGCCAUGCCGCGUGUAUGAAGAAGGCCUUCGGGUUGUAAAGUACUUUCAGCGGGGAGGCGUGACCCGCAGAAGAAGCACCGGCUAACUCCGUGCCAGCAGCCGCGGUAAUUC
rnacentral:rRNA from 1 species